GGUGAACGCUGGCGGCGUGCCUAAUACAUGCAAGCCGAGCGAACGGACGAGAAGCUUGCUUCUCUGAUGUUAGCGGCGGACGGGUGAGUAACACGUGGAUAACCUACCUAUAAGACUGGGAUAACUUCGGGAAACCGUAGCUAAUACCGGAUAAUAUUUUGAACCGCAUGGUUCAAAAGUGAAAGACGGUCUUGCUGUCACUUAUAGAUGGAUCCGCGCUGCAUUAGCUAGUUGGUAAGGUAACGGCUUACCAAGGCAACGAUGCAUAGCCGACCUGAGAGGGUGAUCGGCCACACUGGAACUGAGACACGGUCCAGACUCCUACGGGAGGCAGCAGUAGGGAAUCUUCCGCAAUGGGCGAAAGCCUGACGGAGCAACGCCGCGUGAGUGAUGAAGGUCUUCGGAUCGUAAAACUCUGUUAUUAGGGAAGAACAUAUGUGUAAGUAACUGUGCACAUCUUGACGGUACCUAAUCAGAAAGCCACGGCUAACUACGUG
rnacentral:rRNA from 1 species